rnacentral:rRNA from 1 species
GUACACGCUGUGACUAGCAUAUCAAUAAGCGGAGGAAAAGAAACUAACAAGGAUUCCCUUAGUAACGGCGAGUGAAGCGGGAAGAGCUCAAAUUUGAAAUCUUAAAGGGUUUCCCUUUACGAAUUGUAGUUUAAAGAAGUGUUUUCUGUUAGAGGUUUCGGUAAAGGUUCUUUGGAAUAGGACAUCAUAGAGGGUGAGAAUCCCGUAUUUGACCAUUUACUUUCAGCUUUGUGAUACACUUUCAAAGAGUCGGAUUGUUUGGGAAUGCAGUCCAAAAUGGGUGGUAAAUUUCAUCUAAAGCUAAAUAUUGGCGAGAGACCGAUAGCGAACAAGUACCGUGAGGGAAAGAUGAAAAGAACUUUGAAAAGAGAGUUAAACAGUACGUGAAAUUGUCAAAAGGGAAGCGUUUGACACCAGUGUUGUUUUUCUGAAAAUCAAUUAAAGAACUGUUUAUGCUAAGUUGUUUAGACUUUAUCAGCUAACUGUUUAGUUUUGAGCUUUUCUUUAAUGCACUUUUCAGUUAACAAGUCAACAUCAACUUCUUUUGCUGUAAAAAAGCUUGAGGAAGGUGGCUUGAGAUUCGUCUUAAGUGUUUAUAGCCUCUUGCCUAUGCAGUCGGAGAGAUUGAGGUCUGCAGCGUAGAUCCUUCGGGGCUAAAUGCAUUUGUGCUAAGUUAUAGCAUUUUAUAGACAACUUGUUGACUAUGAUUUGUCUUGUAGCUUACUCGCUUAUGUUAUUUUACCUACGCUUAGGAUGUUGAGCGCAUGUCUCUCUCU